CUACGGGUCGCUGCAGUGGGGAAUAUUACACAAUGGGCGCAAGCCUGAUGCAGCCAUGCCGCGUGUAUGAAGAAGGCCUUCGGGUUGUAAAGUACUUUCAGCGGGGAGGAAGGGAGUAAAGUUAAUACCUUUGCUCAUUGACGUUACCCGCAGAAGAAGCACCGGCUAACUCCGUGCCAGCAGCCGCGGUAAUACGGAGGGUGCAAGCGUUAAUCGGAAUUACUGGGCGUAAAGCGCACGCAGGCGGUUUGUUAAGUCAGAUGUGAAAUCCCCGGGCUCAACCUGGGAACUGCAUCUGAUACUGGCAAGCUUGAGUCUCGUAGAGGGGGGUAGAAUUCCAGGUGUAGCGGUGACAUGCGUAGAGAUCUGGAGGAAUACCGGUGGCGAAGGCGGCCCCCUGGACGAAGACUGACGCUCAGGUGCGAAAGCGUGGGGAGCAAACAGGAUUAGAUACCCGCGUAGUC
rnacentral:rRNA from 1 species